rnacentral:rRNA from 1 species
UACGGGGGGAGCAAGCGUUGUUCGGAAUUACUGGGCGUAAAGCGCACGUAGGCGGAUUUGCUAGUUCAGGGGUGAAAUCCCGAGGCUCAACCUCGGAACUGCCUUUGAUACUGCAAAUCUCGAGUCCGGAAGAGGUGAGUGGAAUUCCUAGUGUAGAGGUGAAAAUUCGUAGAUAUUAGGAAGAACACCAGUGGCGAAGGCGGCUCACUGGUCCGGUACUGACGCUGAGGUGCGAAAGCGUGGGGAGCAAACAGGG